UCCCUGCUCCGCCCUUUGUCUGCCGUGUGACCUUGGCACCCCAACAUUUGAGGACCCAAGGCCUCCACCCAAGCCAGCUCUAACUUCUUCCUGGACUCUCAACGCCUCAGGGGAAACCAUCCUGAAGUAUUCCUGCCCCCACCUAAGGACCCCAGCCCUCCAGCCAAGGCAAGCUUUAACUUCUUCCUGGACUCUCAACACUCUGAGGGAAACCAUCCUGAAGCACUCCUGACUCCACCCCAACCCCACACAAAAUCCCAGACCCAAGCCACAGGAUGUCUUCUGGGGCCUGGAGUUGUCUUUGACCACCCUGUGCACCUUCCCCCCCCCACCCUGCAAAUCCUGGCCACCCCUCCCUCUAACAAGCAGCCCCUGCCCCGUGCCAGCCCCUCCCGCCCCCCAGCUCACCAGCUCCCACCUUUCCCACUUCCAGAUAUUCAAAUGAAAGCUAUUCUUCCCCCAGACACUAUGCUGGUGAAUAAAAGUUGUUAAAAUCCCAUCUCA